rnacentral:snRNA from 1 species
AUACUUACUGGCAGGGGAGAUACCACGAUCACGAAGGUGGUUUUCCCAGGGUGAGGCUUAUCCAUUGCACUCCGGAUGUGCUGACUCCUGUGAUUUCCCCAAAGAAAAAAAGAAAGAAAGAAAAGGCAUUGUAAUACACACUGGUAAUUAC